GAGCGGCGGACGGGUGAGUAACACGUGGGUAACCUGCCCAAGAGACUGGGAUAACACCUGGAAACAGAUGCUAAUACCGGAUAACAACACUAGACGCAUGUCUAGAGUUUGAAAGAUGGUUCUGCUAUCACUCUUGGAUGGACCUGCGGUGCAUUAGCUAGUUGGUAAGGUAACGGCUUACCAAGGCAAUGAUGCAUAGCCGAGUUGAGAGACUGAUCGGCCACAUUGGGACUGAGACACGGCCCAAACUCCUACGGGAGGCAGCAGUAGGGAAUCCUCCACAAUGGACGAAAGUCUGAUGGAGCAACGCCGCGUGAGUGAAGAAGGGUUUCGGCUCGUAAAGCUCUGUUGGUAGUGAAGAAAGAUAGAGGUAGUAACUGGCCUUUAUUUGACGGUAAUUACUUAGAAAGUCACGGCUAACUACGUGCCAGCAGCCGCGGUAAUACGUAGGUGGCAAGCGUUGUCCGGAUUUAUUGGGCGUAAAGCGAGUGCAGGCGGUUCAAUAAGUCUGAUGUGAAAGCCUUCGGCUCAACCGGAGAAUUGCAUCAGAAACUGUUGAACUUG
rnacentral:rRNA from 1 species